rnacentral:lncRNA from 1 species
AUUGUGUCUUGAUUUUCAACAUUCCUCUUGACUUUGUUAUUAUAGAUCUAGACUUAAAUGAAGCACAGACCGAAAACGUAUAACAUUUUGCUCCACUGAUGGUUGUUUUUAGAAGUUGUUGUUUAAGACAAAGACUCUGCUCAAGCAUGGUGGAUCUGUUAUGACAGUCAAACUUAAUGAAGUCCUUCGGCCUCAUCACUUAUUAUGAGUUCUACUCUUUGGUAAUAUUAUCACUCCUAAACUGCUUGUGUGUGACCUGUGGACAGAAUGCAAGCAUUCUUGACCUGGAUAUUGUCAUCUUUACAGGAACCAUUCAAUGACAGAUUUUACAAGAAAGUCCUAUUUUCUGAUCUGUCUUGAAGCUCCAUGUAGAAGGAAAUCUCCCAUCAUCCCUCACACGAAUCCCUUCAACCAAUCAUCUGCUGGUUCUCUUCAUGGUAAUUCAAGUCCUUUCUUUGUAUCUUCUGGCUUCUCCACACUGUUGCUGCCUUCAGAUCCACCCAGAGAUAGGACAGAGUCACCCAGGCUCAGCUAAGAUCCUGCUGUUGUGUUUAACUACACUUUACGACACAUGAUGGACGCAGAAAGGAAUGACAACGGAUGAAGAACAAGCAAAGAACAGGAGACUUCUUAGGACUUCUUCUAAAGUGUGCUGGCCACAUCCUUCUAUGGGGGUAGCUGGGAUGUGGCCACAGGGACAGAAUCGGGUGGGCAGGGGAGGCAACAUGGUAGACAAACACAGUGCAGAGAGCACUCGGCACCCUUGAACGAAAGUGCCUUUGGUCUUGAGCUUCCUGCCUGGAGUUCAGUCGCCCCAAAGUCUUCCGAGUCCAGCAAGAGACAGAUCUAGUUUCUCUCAUCUGCCACUCCUCACCUCCAGCUCAGAGCUAGCCUCCAGGAAACAUAAUCCUCUUCAGAGAUGUAGUAGGGUUUGGAAUGCAGACGACCUUUUUCAUUGUUAUGUGGAACUGCUUGCUUCCUCACUAUUUUGAAUGUCCCAUUGUAGAAUAAUAUUCUUUUUGGCUGUAUCAUUACCACCAGUGGAUUACCACCACUUUAUCAAAAUCCACCAGGGUACCUUGUUCCUCCUAAAUCAAAAGCAAUCUGACAUGUGGUUCAAGUUAAGCUUCCAUUUGGAGAACUUGAUAAAAUGUUCACAGUUCUAAAAUAGUGGUGUUUCUUGGCUCUCUGCUCCCAAUCACCUCUGAGUACCCUAUCGAGGUUUUUUUCUUUGUUUG